rnacentral:rRNA from 1 species
AACGAACGCUGGCGGCAUGCCUAACACAUGCAAGUCGAACGAGACCUUCGGGUCUAGUGGCGCACGGGUGCGUAACGCGUGGGAACCUGCCCUUAGGUUCGGAAUAACUCCCCGAAAGGGGUGCUAAUACCGGAUAAUGUCUUCGGACCAAAGAUUUAUCGCCUUUGGAUGGGCCCGCGUUGGAUUAGCUAGUUGGUAGGGUAAAAGCCUACCAAGGCGACGAUCCAUAGCUGGUCUGAGAGGAUGAUCAGCCACACUGGGACUGAGACACGGCCCAGACUCCUACGGGAGGCAGCAGUGGGGAAUAUUGGACAAUGGGCGAAAGCCGGAUCCAGCAAUGCCGCGGGAGUGAUGAAGGCCUUAGGGUGGUAAAGCUCUUUUACCCGGGAUGAUAAGGACAGGACCGGGAGAAUAAGCUCCGGCGAACUCCGU